ACUCCGGUUGAUCCUGCCGGACCCUACUGCUAUCGGGAUAGGGCUAAGACAUGCUAGUUGUGCGUCUCCAAGCCAUGGUGAAGGCGCAGCACACAGCUCAGUAGCACGUGGCUAACUUACCCUUGGGACAGAAACAACCCCGGGAAACUGGGGUUAAUUUCUGAUAGGUGAGGACUCCUGGAAUGGAUCUUCGUCUAAAGGAUGCUUAGACCAUGCUUCUAGGUAUUGCCCAAGGAUAGGGCCGCGGCCGAUCAGGUUGUUGGUGAGGUAACGGCUCACCAAGCCUUUAACCGGUGCGGGCCGUGAGAGCGGGAGCCCGGAGAUGGGCACUGAGACAAGGGCCCAGGCCCUACGGGGCGCAGCAGUCGCGAAAACUCUGCAAUACGCGAAAGCGUGACAGGGCUAUCCCGAGUGCCGUCCGCUGAGGAUGGCUUUUCCCCAGUGUAGGUAGCUGGGGGAAUAAGGAGAGGGCAAGUCUGGUGUCAGCCGCCGCGGUAAUACCAGCUCUCCGAGUGGUGGGGAUACUUAUUGGGCCUAAAGCAUCCGUAGCCUGCUGGGCAAGUCCUCCGUUAAAUCCUGCGAUUUAAUCGUUGGGCUGCGGGGGAUAC
rnacentral:rRNA from 1 species